GAUGAACGCUGGCGGCGUGCUUAACACAUGCAAGUCGAACGGAAAGGCCCAAGCUUGCUUGGGUACUCGAGUGGCGAACGGGUGAGUAACACGUGGGUGAUCUGCCCUGCACUUCGGGAUAAGCCUGGGAAACUGGGUCUAAUACCGGAUAGGACGAUGGUUUGGAUGCCAUUGUGGAAAGUUUUUUCGUUGUGGGAUGAGCUCGCGGCCUAUCAGCUUGUUGGUGGGGUAAUGGCCUACCAAGGCGUCGACGGGUAGCCGGCCUGAGAGGGUGUACGGCCACAUUGGGACCGAGAUACGGCCCAGACUCCUACGGGAGGCAGCAGUGGGGAAUAUUGCACAAUGGGCGCAAGCCUGAUGCAGCGACGCCGCGUGGGGGAUGACGGCCUUCGGGUUGUAAACUCCUUUCGCUAGGGACGAAGCGUUUUUGUGACGGUACCUGGAGAAGAAGCACCGGCUAACUACGUG
rnacentral:rRNA from 1 species